UACGAAGGGGACUAGCGUUGCUCGGAAUCACUGGGCGUAAAGCGCACGUAGGCGGCUUUUUAAGUCAGGGGUGAAAUCCUGGAGCUCAACUCCAGAACUGCCUUUGAUACUGAAAAGCUUGAGUCCGGGAGAGGUGAGUGGAACUGCGAGUGUAGAGGUGAAAUUCGUAGAUAUUCGGAAGAACACCAGUGGCGAAGGCGACUCACUGGACACGUAUUGACGCUGAGGUGCGAAAGCGUGGGGAGCAAACAGG
rnacentral:rRNA from 1 species